rnacentral:lncRNA from 1 species
GUUGGAGUCGGCAGAGGGGGACAAAUUGACGAGUGAGAUUGAGGCAGAGGUUGAGUGAUUAAAGACUUCUCUAAAGAGCUGCCAGUUGGUGAGUUGGUUGUGAAUAAGGCCAUUAGGUGGGUUCUCGAUUAUUGCUGAACCGACUGUUGCUAUUACGGGGGAGUGGUCGGAAGAGAGUUCAGUCGAGGAGUUGAUUUGGACAUAUCUAGGCGAGAUAUUUUUGGUUAUGAAGAAGUCGAGUAAAUCGGGGAUUUUGUUAGUGUCAGUGGGCCAGUAUGUGGGUUCAUAUGUGGUGAGGUAGUUGAGAUUGUUGGUGUUUAUGCUUUUCAAGACAUCAUAAACUUGCGAAGGCCUUGGAGGAGGCAAGAAGGAGAACGAGAGCAACAACUACGCGGAGCAGUGAAGGCAGAGAUACAAGACAACAAAGAACCACAGAAGGAGAACAGCCCAGUAUUCUGAACUAGCUGAGAAGAUGAGAGCAGUAACUGCCCGAAGAAGAAGAUACAACGGGGCAUGAAAGGACAACCCUGAUGACUGCCGACAGGUUUUACCGGGGUUGUCUGUCCUCAAAGCAGAGGAAGAAGGAGGAGGGGUUUUUAGUGGGUAUGGCAACAACAUCCGCCCGAGUCCCACAUAACCCAGUGAUGCGGGUCACUGGGCAUGCGUAACAGCAUUUUCCCCUCCUCACGCAAAAAAAAAAAA